rnacentral:rRNA from 1 species
GACGAACGCUGGCGGCGUGCCUAAUACAUGCAAGUUGAGCGAUGAAGCUUGGUGCUUGCACCAAUUUGAAGAGCAGCGAACGGGUGAGUAACGCGUGGGGAAUCUGCCUUUGAGCGGGGGACAACAUUUGGAAACGAAUGCUAAUACCGCAUAACAACUUUAAACAUAAGUUUUAAGUUUGAAAGAUGCAAUUGCAUCACUCAAAGAUGAUCCCGCGUUGUAUUAGCUAGUUGGUGAGGUAAAGGCUCACCAAGGCGAUGAUACAUAGCCGACCUGAGAGGGUGAUCGGCCACAUUGGGACUGAGACACGGCCCAAACUCCUACGGGAGGCAGCAGUAGGGAAUCUUCGGCAAUGGACGAAAGUCUGACCGAGCAACGCCGCGGGAGUGAAGAAGGUUUUCGGAUCGUAAAACUCUGUUGGUAGAGAAGAACGUUGGUGAGAGUGGAAAGCUCAUCAAGUGACGGUAACUACCCAGAAAGGGACGGCUAACUACG